ensembl:snRNA U6 U6 spliceosomal RNA
GUGCUCACUGCAGCAGUACAUAUCUUCAAAGUGGAAAGAUACAGAGAAUACUGACAUGGUGCUGCACAAGGAUGGUACUGCACAAGUUCAUAAUUGAACCUUUUCC